AACGUAGGAGGCGAGCGUUAUCCGGAUUUACUGGGUGUAAAGCGCGUGUAGGCGGUCCUGCAAGUGGCGCGUGAAAGCGCCCGGCUCAACCGGGCGAGGACGUGACCGAACUGCGGGGCUAGAGGCAGGUAGAGGCGUGUGGAAUUCCGGGUGUAGUGGUGAAAUGCGUAGAGAUCCGGAGGAACACCAGUGUCGAAGGCGACACGCUGGGCCUGACCUGACGCUGAGAGGCGAAAGCAUGGGGAGCGAACGGGAUUAGAUACCCCUGUAGU
rnacentral:rRNA from 1 species